rnacentral:rRNA from 1 species
GGGGGUAAUGCUCUAUAGUCCGGGAGGACUGGAAUGUUCUCCGGAUGAAAGAUCCGUCGCUUCAGGAUGAGUCUGCGGCCGAUUAGGUAGUUGUUGGGGUAAAAGCCCAACAAGCCUGUAAUCGGUACGGGUUGUGGGAGCAAGAGCCCGGAGAUGGAUUCUGAGACACGAAUCCAGGCCCUACGGGGCGCAGCAGGCGCGAAAACUUUACAAUGCGGGCAACCGUGAUAAGGAAACCCCGAGUGCCAGCACAGGCUGGCUGUCCGCCAGUGUAAACAACUGGUGAAGAAAGGGCCGGGCAGGACCGGUGCCAGCUGCCGCGGUAAUACCGGCGGCUCGAGUGGUGGCCGCUUUUACUGGGCUUAAAGGGUCCGUAGCUUGAUCCAUGGGUCCCUUGAGAAAUCCAUCAGCUUAACUGCUGGGCGUUCAGGGGAAACUGUGGUUCUAGGGACCGGGAGAGGUAAGAGGUACUGCCGGGGUAGGAGUGAAAUCCUGUAAUCCCGGUGGGACGACCUAUAGCGAAGGCAUCUUACCAGAACGGCUCGACAGUGAGGGACGAAAGCUGGGGGAGCAAACCGGAUUAGAUACCCGGGUAGUCCCAGCUGUAAACGAUGCGCGUUAGGUGUGUCAGUGACCACGUGUCACUGAUGUGCCGAAGGGAAACCGUGAAACGCGCCGCCUGGGGAGUACGGUCGCAAGGCUGAAACUUAAAGGAAUUGGCGGGG